CAGAUAUUAGUUUAAAAAAAAUUUUAAUUUUGGAGAUUAAGGACAAGGUAAUUUUCUUAUAUCUGA
rnacentral:tRNA from 1 species